ensembl:snRNA U7 U7 small nuclear RNA
UAGCAUUACGGUUCUUUUAGAAUUUGUCUAGAAGGCUUACUGCAAAGUGCACCCCU